GUGUGUGUGUGUGUGUGUGUGUGUGUGUGUGUGUGUGUGUGUAUAUAUAUAUAUAUAUACACACACACACACACACAACACUCUUAAAGGACCA